rnacentral:rRNA from 1 species
UUGAAGAGUUUGAUCAUGGCUCAGAUUGAACGCUGGCGGCAGGCCUAACACAUGCAAGUCGAGCGGUAGCACAGAGAGCUUGCUCUCGGGUGACGAGCGGCGGACGGGUGAGUAAUGUCUGGGAAACUGCCUGAUGGAGGGGGAUAACUACUGGAAACGGUAGCUAAUACCGCAUAAUGUCGCAAGACCAAAGUGGGGGACCUUCGGGCCUCAUGCCAUCAGAUGUGCCCAGAUGGGAUUAGCUAGUAGGUGGGGUAACGGCUCACCUAGGCGACGAUCCCUAGCUGGUCUGAGAGGAUGACCAGCCACACUGGAACUGAGACACGGUCCAGACUCCUACGGGAGGCAGCAGUGGGGAAUAUUGCACAAUGGGCGCAAGCCUGAUGCAGCCAUGCCGCGUGUGUGAAGAAGGCCUUCGGGUUGUAAAGCACUUUCAGCGGGGAGGAAGGCGUUAAGGUUAAUAACCUUGGCGAUUGACGUUACCCGCAGAAGAAGCACCGGCUAACUCCGUGCCAGCAGCCGCGGUAAUACGGAGGGUGCAAGCGUUAAUCGGAAUUACUGGGCGUAAAGCGCACGCAGGCGGUCUGUCAAGUCGGAUGUGAAAUCCCCGGGCUCAACCUGGGAACUGCAUUCGAAACUGGCAGGCUAGAGUCUUGUAGAGGGGGGUAGAAUUCCAGGUGUAGCGGUGAAAUGCGUAGAGAUCUGGAGGAAUACCGGUGGCGAAGGCGGCCCCCUGGACAAAGACUGACGCUCAGGUGCGAAAGCGUGGGGAGCAAACAGGAUUAGAUACCCUGGUAGUCCACGCCGUAAACGAUGUCGAUUUGGAGGUUGUGCCCUUGAGGCGUGGCUUCCGGAGCUAACGCGUUAAAUCGACCGCCUGGGGAGUACGGCCGCAAGGUUAAAACUCAAAUGAAUUGACGGGGGCCCGCACAAGCGGUGGAGCAUGUGGUUUAAUUCGAUGCAACGCGAAGAACCUUACCUGGUCUUGACAUCCACAGAACUUUCCAGAGAUGGAUUGGUGCCUUCGGGAACUGUGAGACAGGUGCUGCAUGGCUGUUGUCAGCUCGUGUUGUGAAAUGUUGGGUUAAGUCCCGCAACGAGCGCAACCCUUAUCCUUUGUUGCCAGCGGUUCGGCCGGGAACUCAAAGGAGACUGCCAGUGAUAAACUGGAGGAAGGUGGGGAUGACGUCAAGUCAUCAUGGCCCUUACGACCAGGGCUACACACGUGCUACAAUGGCAUAUACAAAGAGAAGCGACCUCGCGAGAGCAAGCGGACCUCAUAAAGUAUGUCGUAGUCCGGAUUGGAGUCUGCAACUCGACUCCAUGAAGUCGGAAUCGCUAGUAAUCGUAGAUCAGAAUGCUACGGUGAAUACGUUCCCGGGCCUUGUACACACCGCCCGUCACACCAUGGGAGUGGGUUGCAAAAGAAGUAGGUAGCUUAACCUUCGGGAGGGCGCUUACCACUUUGUGAUUCAUGACUGGGGUGAAGUCGUAACAAGGUAACCGUAGGGGAACCUGCGGUUGGAUCACCUCCUU